rnacentral:rRNA from 1 species
UACGUAGGGUGCGAGCGUUAAUCGGAUUUACUGGGCGUAAAGCGUGCGCAGGCGGCCCGUUAAGACAGGUGUGAAAUCCCUGGGCUCAACCUAGGAAUUGCGCUUGUGACUGGCGGGCUCGAGUACGGUAGAGGGGGGUGGAAUUCCUGGUGUAGCAGUGAAAUGCGUAGAGAUCAGGAGGAACACCGAUGGCGAAGGCAGCCCCCUGGGCCUGUAAUGACGCUCAUGCACGAAAGCGUGGGGAGCAAACAGG